rnacentral:tRNA from 1 species
UUCCUGGUGGUCUAGUGGUUAGGACUCUGUGCUUCCACUUCAGGGGGCACGGGUUCCAUCCCUGGCUGGGGAA